rnacentral:rRNA from 1 species
GAUGAACGCUGACGGAAUGCUUAACACAUGCAAGUCGAUGGGGAAGUGGUGCUUGCACCAUGGCAACCAUGGCGGACGGGUGAGUAACGCGUAAGGGACUUACCUGCAGGACUGGGAUAACAGGGGGAAACUCCUGACAAGACCGGAUAAUGUCAUGGAGCUGCAUGGCUUUAUGAUGAAAGGAGACGCCUGCGGAGAGCCUUGCGUCCUAUUAGCUAGUUGGUGAGGUAAUGGCUCAUCAAGGCGAAGAUAGGUAGCCGGCCUGAGAGGGUGGACGGCCACAAGGGGACUGAGAUACGGCCCUUACUCCUACGGGAGGCAGCAGUGGGGAAUAUUGGACAAUGGGGGCAACCCUGAUCCAGCAAUUCUGUGUGCACGAAGAAGGUUUUCGGAGUGUAAAGUGCUUUCAGCAGGGAAGAAGUAAGUGACGGUACCUGCAGAAGAAGCGACGGCUAAAUACGUG